ACACACUGCAUCAUUUAUAAACCCUAAGACUACAUCAACAGCUUCUUAGACCUGCUGUUCAAGGAGGUCAUGAUAGCACCUGAGAAGUACCAGGACCUACUGGCCAGCGUUCCUGUCCCUCCCCUUGUGGGCAGAAAGCGUUCUCUUUGUCUCCUUCUUGGUGUGUAUCAUCUUCUCCAUUAUGGCGUGUUUCUACACCUUCAUGGACCCUGCUGAAAUUGAGGCCCAGUUCAAGAAGAAGGUUCAUGAAGAUGAUGAGGAUGAUAGAAGCCAGUAACAGAAGACAGAGCUCGAGAUGUGAAGCUGAAAUAAAACCAGCCGGUCCUCAGGGAGAUAUGGAGGGAGACAGAGUGAAGGAACAAACAGCGACUGCAGAUAAAAUAGACAAGGGGAGGAAAAGCUUAUGGCGGGUAUGCAACCCCCUUCUACCCACCAUAAGCUUUUCAUCUCUCUUUAUAUUUUCUCCCUCUUCUCUCUAGUUCUCUCUGUAUUUAUGUCUCUGUCUCUCUCAAGUCUCCCUCAAUUGUGUUUUGGUCAGUGAACUGUAGUAUUAAAUUGUGCCUCUGGGGUAAGCUGUGGAAAGCCUCACUGGAUAAUUGAAAAAAAAGACCA